rnacentral:rRNA from 1 species
UACGUAGGGGGCUAGCGUUGUCCGGAAUCAUUGGGCGUAAAGCGCGCGUAGGCGGCCCGGUAAGUCCGCUGUAAAAGUCCAGGGCUCAACCCUGGAACGCCGGUGGAUACUGUCGGGCUAGAGUCCGGAAGAGGCGAGUGGAAUUCCUGGUGUAGCGGUGGAAUGCGCAGAUAUCAGGAAGAACACCAAUGGCGAAGGCAGCUCUCUGGGACGGUACUGACGCUGAGACGCGAAAGCGUGGGGAGCGAACAGG